AGACGGUUGAGUAACACGUGGUCAACCUACCGCUGAGUGGGGGAUAACUAGCCGAAAGGUUAGCUAAUACCGCGUACGUGUCCGGCAUCAAAAGGAGCGCUCGGUGACGGGACCGCGUCCGAUUAGCUAGAUGGUGGGGUAAUAGCCUACCAUGGCUCCGAUCGGUAGCUGGUUUGAGAGAGCGACCAGCCACACUGGGACUGAGAAACGGCCCAUACUCCUACGGGAGGCAGCAGUGAGGAAUUUUCCGCAAUGGGCGAAAGCCUGACGGAGCGACGCCGCGUGUGGGAAGAAGGCCUUCGGGUCGUAAACCACUGUCGAAGGGGACGAUUGACGGUACCCUUGGAGGAAGCCCCGGCUAACUACGUGCCAGCAGCCGCGGUAAGACGUAGGGGGCGAGCGUUAUUCGGAAUUAUUGGGCGUAAAGCGCUCGUAGGCGGGACGGGAAGUCCGUGUUGAAAGACCUCGGCUCAACUGAGGGACCGGCGCGGAUAC
rnacentral:rRNA from 1 species